ncrna:unclassified sequences S15-Flavobacteria ribosomal protein leader
UACUUUUGCGCCCGUAUUACGAUAGUCGUAGUACAUACAUAACAAUCAUUUACACAAAUAUUAGCAUG